CUUGGAUUUACAUAAUUUGUAUCAUAUAUUCAUGUUCUACAAUAUAAGGUUCAGUUACAUACAUGCACAUGAAAACAAAAAAAAAAGCAUAAAAAUAUAAUUUUGAAAUUCGAUGCUGACUCAUUCUGCCCCUAACAAUCAGUUUAUAUGAUAUAUUAGUAUAUUAGCGGUAUAGUUUCACAGUGUGCAUUCUGCUUAUUUACAAUGCAGU